rnacentral:rRNA from 1 species
UACGUAGGGUCCGAGCGUUGUCCGGAAUUAUUGGGCGUAAAGAGCUCGUAGGCGGCUUGUCACGUCGGAUGUGAAAGCCCGAGGCUUAACCUCGGGUCUGCAUUCGAUACGGGCUAGCUAGAGUGUGGUAGGGGAGAUCGGAAUUCCUGGUGUAGCGGUGAAAUGCGCAGAUAUCAGGAGGAACACCGGUGGCGAAGGCGGAUCUCUGGGCCAUUACUGACGCUGAGGAGCGAAAGCGUGGGGAGCGAACAGG